CAGCGCUUCGGCCGGAGGGCGUUCCAAGAGCGCUGCUCGAGUUUCCCCAGCGCGGCGGUUCCUCGUGCCGCCGCCGUCGCAGCCGCGCUUGCCGGGGCGAGGAGACGCGCCGACCGCGACCGAAACCGGAGACGCGAGGCAAGGGCGCGCUGCUGCUGCGCCGUGCCGCCGCCGAUGAUGAUAAGGGCGCCCGUCGUCGCCUCGGCGGCCGGCCGCAUAAGCGACCGCCUGCGCUCCGGAAAACGCCAGUCGGGCUUUCGUCUCCCUCCCAGCCAGCCCCUCUGCGAGAGAUGACGGCCGCUCACUCCACUGCACGCGCGCACACCGAGAAGACAGCUUGCCCCUCGCGCGCGACGAUCGAGACCGCUGGCAAGGGGCGUCGAUGAGCGACGCUCGCUGCAACGGGACGAAGCACGACGUGGAACCUCCAGUGGCUGUGCCGUCGUCGUCGUCCCGUUGAAUCGGUGUGCACGCCGGCGGAUGCGCCACGACAAGAUGUAAAACGCUCCGGACGUGAGGUGGUGAGGUGACAUCGUCGUACGGCCGAGGCUGCGGGCAGACUUUCGCGGUUAGUCUAGAUGUGCGGUAGAGUGAUGUCUGAACUCGCGGUAUCGACCCACGAGGCCUUCUAGUUUAGUGGAGCUUCGGGAAGAGCUUUCCGUCCAUUUGCUUCGUGGAGAGGAACUAAGUUGUAUCUCUAGCAGCUUAUCCCGCGGGAACCAGUUUCUUUUACACAUCUUAAGUCAUUCGCUGUCGUCAUCGAACUUACUACACUCUUCUUCUUCAUUUAUUUCUUCUUUUGUUACGUUUUGCGCAGAAGGAGUAAAGGAAGGAAGUUUUCAUCCCGCCAACUGCCGAAAAUCUUGCAGCAGUGUAGUCAUUAAUUGAUGGUGAAGCAUAGUCGGAAGCCUAAGAAGGUGUCCGCUGCAACAAAGAACAUUAGCUCCGUAAGCUCUGAGAAGUAGCUCAGUGUGCUACUGCCGCGCUUCGCAUUGGUUGUCGGCUCGGCACCGUAGGGCGAACGGCCGAAGUGUCGACGCACGCUCCCAUUUUGCUGUCGUCAGACGUACAGUCACUUGAGAAGCACCGUCCGUCCGCAGCUGCUGAAUCGGCCAAAUUUGGAGAGCAUACGGAUGAUAACUGCAGAGGCCACUGACACCUGUGACUCGCACUAAAGACGUUCGUGAUCAAUGUACAGGAGAACGCUACACCUCGGACCAGCGCUGCCUUUCCACUCAGUUCGCCGAAGUUGGCCGACGAUUUCCGCUGUACGGAAGAUGAGCGAGGGGGCGCUACACGCAUGGCUGAAGUGGCGAUGAAUCACCAGGCCAAGUGGCGGCGACGAUGGGCGUGAUCGACAGCGGGGACGAAGGCGUCGUUCGCUCGGAGGGGCUCCCUCACUCAGUUUGGCUGUGGUGUAACGGGCGCCUGACCCAUCACAACCUCCUUGAGUGAGUGAGGCCUGCCCGAGGAUUGCAACGGGAGACAUCUGACCCCGACCCGGCAGGCGGACUUUGGAAAGACUCACCGCGCAGCACCCAUCUCAGCUUGGACUUUAAACACGCUGGAUGCAAGCCUUUCUCUCAGAUAUAGCAUAGCUUGUUUGCUUGUGCGUGGUAAGUCGUGCAAUAGAGUAAUGAGUUCAGCUUGUCCCGUUUCUAGACCAUCGAAGUUAUUUGCCCAUGCUAUAAUUAAGGUGAGCUGACGUCACCUACUCAUCCGGUAUGCAUUAAAAAGAGAAGUGCAACUGCACAAUUUGUCAUCAAGGAAAGAUCUAGAGAGGGAGAUGAAGAGGAAAGGCAGGGAGGUUAACCAGAUAUUAGCCUCCGGUUUGCUACCCUACACUGGGGUUAGGAGACAGGUGUUAGCAAGAGGACAGAGAUGAAAGGGCCGGCAGAUCGCAAGAAGCGCAGUAUAAAGUGCUUGCACGGCCUUCUGUGACGUUAGGUCCUGUCGAUGCUGUAGAAGUGCCUCUUCCGAUAGUGUUAUUGUGUGACACCAUUAUGAAGGGCUCUGGGUUAACUUUCACCACCCGAGCUUCUUUGAGCAUGGUGCACGGGUCCUUUUACGUGCCGUUUCCAUCAAAGUGCGGCUGCAAAUCGAACCCACGACCGCGCGCUCAGCAGCACAACGCUCCGAGCCACUGCUUCGGGUGGCUGUGCCACCAUUUAAUGCCUCUGAAAAAAAUUGUCUUGCCACUUAGUGGACACAAGCUAAAGCCGCCAGCGUUUUCGUUGCUCGAUUUACGACGCACAGGGCGAAGGUCCUCGUUUUCUUUCGCGUGUUGAAAAUAAAAAAAAAAUAUUUGA